UAUGUUGACAGGACUACCUACAAAAACAACGAUAUUUUCUAUAAAAAUACACUAUUGCAUGUUCAUCUUCAUACAUUUUCAAUUUUACUUACCCAUUCUUGUCCAUUUGCUCCUGCUGCUUCCAGAGACAAUAGGUUUACUGGACAAUUUAGCUCUUGUAAUGUAAUAUAAGCUGCUUCCGGGUCCGCGUAGAAGUUGAAUUCUGCACCUAAAUUUAUAUUUCCUCG
rnacentral:lncRNA from 1 species